UGGGGAAUAUUGGACAAUGGGCGAAAGCCUGAUCCAGCCAUGCCGCGUGUGUGAAGAAGGUCUUCGGAUUGUAAAGCACUUUAAGUUGGGAGGAAGGGCAGUAAGCGAAUACCUUGCUGUUUUGACGUUACCGACAGAAUAAGCACCGGCUAACUCUGUGCCAGCAGCCGCGGUAAUACAGAGGGUGCAAGCGUUAAUCGGAAUUACUGGGCGUAAAGCGCGCGUAGGUGGUUCGUUAAGUUGAAUGUGAAAGCCCCGGGCUCAACCUGGGAACUGCAUCCAAAACUGGCGAGCUAGAGUAGGGCAGAGGGUGGUGGAAUUGCCUGUGUAGCGGUGAAAUGCGUAGAUAUAGGAAGGAACGCCAGUGGCGAAGGCGACCACCUGGGCUCGUACUGACACUGAGGUGCGAAAGCGUGGGGAGCAAACAGG
rnacentral:rRNA from 1 species